CCAGGGGCAGCUCUGCUGAACAGUGCGUUGACGCGAGCGUGUUAGGAGGUGCUGGGGUGUAUCGGGGCAGCUCUGUGAACAGUG
rnacentral:lncRNA from 1 species